rnacentral:lncRNA from 10 species
GGCAGGCAGACUCACUUGUGCCCAUGGGAAGUGAACAAGAAAAUGAACCAAGGGCAACUUUCCUCCAAGGAAGCAAAGGAAAAGGGGAGGCUGAGCAGUUAGAGGCUGUGUCUUCCAUGGUUAUACCUGGAAUUGUGCGCCAGUCCACAGGCCCCAGGUGAGAGCACCUGAGCAAGAGAGAAUGUCAUGCACAUGUGUGUGUCUGGAGAUCUGUCUGCAAACAUGGGCACGCACACGUCUGUGUGUGCGGAUGCAUCUGCAAACACGGACAUGCACACAUCUGUGUGUGGAGAUCCGUCUGCAAACAUGGGCAUGCAUGUGGUGGCACCUGAUUGAGUCCGUCUGGUCUGCUUAAGACCUAAAUGCUUCUGCUGGCAUUCAUGUGAGUCCUGUUUCUAUGGCCUCUCUUCUACCCCUUUUUUCUCUGUACUUAAGAAAGGAGGGCUCCUCCUUGAUGCCCAUGAAACGCCCAUGCACCUUCCCCACCACGUAAGGGGCCUGUAUUUGUAACCAGCAGAUCUCUCCCUAUUAGACAGGUUUCAAGACAGGAAUGACAUCUUGGUCCCCUGUGCCCUCAGGGACUGCACACAGGCAGGCAUGGAAAGGCUGUUCCGAGCAUGUGAGUGAGCAAGGGGAGGAAAGAAGGCAGCUCAAAUAAAGGCCUGGGAGCACAGCCUCAGAGCAGGGAUGGCACAGGCCCAUGAACAAAUGGGCAGACGCAGUGGAGAGCCUCCUCCUCUGCAGCCCCUCGCUCUCAGCCCCAGUCAAGGCCGUGGACAGAGUCCUCAGCCAGCAGCUUUUGUGCAACCAUCAAGAGUUGUGCCUGUUUUGUGGUCUGUCUUCCUGACAAGACUGUCUCCCUCCUACUAUGCUCUCAGCACUCUAACACAGCACCUGGCACUUAGUUGGCAACGUGCAAAUAUUUUGGGAAGGAAGGAGAAUGGAGCUCAACCUCAGUUAUCUCUGGGGCACUAGAAAUCAACAGGACAUCAAGGGACAGAUGUUGACAGCAAAGGACUCUCUCUCCAGCCAGGAGAACAAUUCACAGAGGUGCUGGGCAGUGUGUGCAUGGGACCCACAGUCACAGUCCCACUGGUCUCCAGGUCACAGUGUGGCUCCCUGCAAUCAAGAAUGUACAUCAGGCCUCGGCGCAGUGGCUCACACCUGUGAUCCCGGCACCGGGAGGCAGAGGCAGGAGGAUCACUUGAGCCCAGGAGUUCAAGACCAGCCUGGGGAAUAUGGCGAAACCCCAUCUCUACAAAAAUUAAAAAAUUAGCUGGGCGUGGUGACACGUGCAUGUAGUCCCAGCUAUUCAGGCUGGGAAGGCUGAGGUGGGAGGAUCGCUUCAGCCCGGGAAGUUGAGGCUGCAGUGAGCCAUGAUUGCGCCACUGCACUCCACCCUGGGCGACAGUGCGGUCCUGUCUCCAAUAAUAAUAAUAAUAAUGCACAUCAGCAAAAUCCUAUCAACCAAAACCCUUAAGCCUCCAUGCAGACCAACUAAAUCCAUA